rfam:Turnip crinkle virus isolate TK, complete genome.
GGGUAACCACUAAAAUCCCGAAAGGGUGGGCUGUGGUGACCUUCC